AGUCGAGGGGUAUAGUAGCAAUACUAGAGACCGGCGCACGGGUGCGUAACGCGUAUGCAAUCUACCUUUCACAGAGGGAUAGCCCAGAGAAAUUUGGAUUAAUACCUCAUAGUAUAAUACCUUGGCAUCAAGGCAUUAUUAAAGUCACAACGGUGAAAGAUGAGCAUGCGUCCCAUUAGCUAGUUGGUAUGGUAACGGCAUACCAAGGCAACGAUGGGUAGGGGUCCUGAGAGGGAGAUCCCCCACACUGGUACUGAGACACGGAGCAGACUCCUACGGGAGGCAGCAGUGAGGAAUAUUGGACAAUGGGCGCAAGCCUGAUCCAGCCAUGCCGCGUGCAGGAUGACGGUCCUAUGGAUUGUAAACUGCUUUUGCACAGGAAGAAACACUCGGACGUGUCCGAGCUUGACGGUACUGUGAGAAUAAGGAUCGGCUAACUCCGUGCCAGCAGCCGCGGUAAUACGGAGGAUCCAAGCGUUAUCCGGAAUCAUUGGGUUUAAAGGGUCCGUAGGCGGCUUUAUAAGUCAGUGGUGAAAUCUCCCCGCUCAACGGGGAAACGGCCAUUGAUACUGUAAGGCUUGAAUUAUUAGGAAGUAACUAGAAUAUGUAGUGUAGCGGUGAAAUGCUUAGAGAUUACAUGGAAUACCAAUUGCGAAGGCAGGUUACUACUAAUGGAUUGACGCUGAUGGACGAAAGCGUGGGUAGCGAACAGGAUUAGAUACCCUGGUAGUCCACGCCGUAAACGAUGGAUACUAGCUGUUGGGAGCAAUCUCAGUGGCUAAGCGAAAGUGAUAAGUAUCCCACCUGGGGGAGUACGUUCGCAAGAAUGA
rnacentral:rRNA from 1 species